GAUGAACGCUAGCGGCAGGCUUAACACAUGCAAGUCGAGGGGUAUAGGUUUUCGGACCUAGAGACCGGCGCACGGGUGCGUAACGCGUAUGCAAUCUACCUUUUACAGAGGGAUAGCCCAGAGAAAUUUGGAUUAAUACCUCAUAGUAUUAUUGAAUGGCAUCAUUUAAUAAUUAAAGUUCCAACGGUAAAAGAUGAGCAUGCGUCCCAUUAGCCAGAUGGUAAGGUAACGGCUUACCAUGGCGACGAUGGGUAGGGGUCCUGAGAGGGAGAUCGCCCACACGGGUACGGAGACACGGACCAGACUCCGACGGGAGGCAGCAGUGAGGAAUAUUGGUCAAUGGACGCAAGUCUGAACCAGCCAUGCCGCGUGCAGGAUGACGGUCCUAUGGAUUGUAAACUGCUUUUGUACAGGAAGAAACACUGGUUCGUGAACCAGCUUGACGGUACUGUAAGAAUAAGGAUCGGCUAACUCCGUGCCAGCAGCCGCCGUAACAC
rnacentral:rRNA from 1 species